GACGAACGCUGGCGGCGUGCUUAACACAUGCAAGUCGAACGGAAAGGCCCUGCUUUUGUGGGGUGCUCGAGUGGCGAACGGGUGAGUAACACGUGAGUAACCUGCCCUUGACUUUGGGAUAACUUCAGGAAAAUGGGGCUAAUACCGGAUAGGAGCUCCUGCUGCAUGGUGGGGGUUGGUAAGUUUCGGCUGUGGGGGAUGGACUCGCGGCUUAUCAGCUUGUUGGUGGGGUAGUGGCUUACCAAGGCUUUGACGGGUAGCCGGCCUGAGAGGGUGACCGGCCACAUUGGGACUGAGAUACGGCCCAGACUCCUACGGGAGGCAGCAGUGGGGAAUAUUGCACAAUGGGCGGAAGCCUGAUGCAGCAACGCCGCGUGCGGGAUGACGGCCUUCGGGUUGUAAACCGCUUUCGCCUGUGACGAAGCGUGAGUGACGGUAAUGGGUAAAGAAGCACCGGCUAACUACGUG
rnacentral:rRNA from 1 species